CCCAAGAGGGGAGCUCACUGCCUGGUGUGACCCAAUGCUAAUUAAUUCAGCCCAGCUGUGACAGGGCUCCAAGGUUUCCUGGGAAGUGCCAGGGAGGCAGAGAUAAGAGGAAGCAAGGAGGGAUGGCUUUCUUCCUCUGUCAUCAGGGAAAGAAAAAAAGAAAAAGCCAGUAUGCAACCUAUGCAAAAACAGCCCUGUGGUCUCAACUGAAGGUAGGAAAACACAUAUACCCCUUGGUAAUCCCAUGUUGGUACUAUCACAUCUUAAGAAUUUGAAGACUUUGCCACAACAUUCAGGGAUGUGAGAAGCUGGAGAAGCUGCUGUCAUCUCACAUUUUAGUUACAGCUCCAUAUGGCUUCCUACAGCUACAGACUGUAGCAGUGAAAUCCCUGUGCAGCCUUACCUGAUGGACAGGCCAUGACUUCAACGUAGUGAUAGGGUGACUUCCCUCGUUUCAACUUUUGCACUAAGUUUUGUAUGUUUCGAAACCCGUAUGCCAAGGCAAACUGGAGCAGAACUACUCCAUCCUUCUCCAGUGUCACCUCUUGGAAGUCCUUGUUUCUGAAGAACAAGAGCAGAGAAUGUCUUAUCAAAAUUAACUUCUAUUUUAAACUUCAAAGAAGCCUACGUCGAAACAAAAUUCCUCAUAGAGUCUUAUUUGAGAAAGCUGUCCUAGUUCUUUGCCACUGAAGCGAAACAGUUGGCAGAGCUAGCUUACAAAUCCUUUUCUGAUCCUGUCUGAAGACCUGCUGCUUGAACUCAGCUUCCUGAAGAACACCCAUAUUGAAUAAAUCCUCAAGACCUAAGCAAAUGGAGCCUAAACUGAAGUUUCAUUGUGACAGGCCACCUGAGCUGGCUUCAGCCAACUUACACAUCAGUGAGGCUACUGAAGGAAACUUAAAACUGUAGUGGGUCAUAAAACCAUGGAGGUAACUAUCAUUGAAGGCUUCUGGACUCCUAACAUUAGUGGAAAUACCUGUUCCUGAUAAGUAAUUUCACUUUUAUCAAGUGUUUUGUAUGGAAAAUGCAAGGAACUGCUUCCAUAUUCCAUCUGCUUCCUACAACAGAGACUACUAAGCACUAAUAUUGUUAAUCAGGACUGUAAUUCACUACAAAUGUCACAUUAAGCUUAUACCUGGGAAGCAUGCAGGAAUCUCAGCUAAAUGUGCUUCUAUACGCAAACCAAAGUGACUUUUUUCUUUCUUACCAUAACACUGUUAAAACGGAGUUCCAAAAUCCUGACAUAAGAUUUUUUUCUCUUCCACGAUAGCUACAUCAGUAACAAAGCUACAUUAUUGGCCUGUUUGCAGGUGAGACAACUCAGAUCCCUGUAAGCUCUGACUUCUAAGUUGCUCUAAAAUUAUCUGAAACUUGAUACUGGGAAAAUCCAUGAGGCCAAAAUGAAAUGUGUGGGUGGUGAAGGGGCUAGAAGUCUCCAAGGGCCAGGCUGCAUGGAGUGCUGGCUGAUUUAUGGCUCAGCAACUGUGGGAGUGAGAAGCCAAUUCCCAUGCCUCAAAGUAAAAUGUUUAACAUUGCAAAGAAAGUUUCAGCCCAUCAGCAAGGCAAAGCAUAAACAGAAUUGUAAUAAAAAUAGUGCUUUCUGUAAAAACUUUAAACUUCUUACUUUAAAGGUUUGUACUGAAUUGUAUCCACUUGAAUUCCAAAGAGUUCCUUGGCUGCAUACUUGUAUAUGUGCUCCAAAUAACCACCAGAACCACCUCCUGAGUGGCUAGUGAGUUCCUCUUCUGCAGCACUACUAAACCUGAGGAAGGGAAGAAAGCAGCAGUUUUAAGGGACUCUUUGAUAAAACAACAGCCAGCGCAAAGCCCACUGUUCCUUCAAACAGAAGUUUCAUUAUGCCAAUACUAAAACAGCUUCAGUACUUCUAACAGAAGCAUCAUGUUGUUA